UCAAAAUCCAUGACCUAUUUGCCCCUCUGGUAUUUAAAUAUUUAAAGGAAACAAAAAUAGGUAUAAACUGAGAAAUAUGGAGUUUUCUCAGUAUUCUUUCUGAGUACACCUGAAGAAAGUGCACUAUUUUUUUUUCAUUAGUUGGACCAAUAUAUAGAGUAUUUUUAUAUUCAUUUUAUUUUCCCCACUGCAAUAUACAGACCUAUUGAGGUUUUAAAAACAUUACAAAAAAAAAAUAUUUUGAUAUAGCUGGAACAGUGAUGGUGAUAAAGUGGAAAUUGUGUGGGGAUUUUUUUGUUUAGUUUUUUUUUUUUAAUUUGAGAUUAAAUAUCUAUAUUUAUAAACCAGUUGAAAACUAGUGACUGCAUGUUUGCUUUUUGUAUAAAAUGUGAUUUGUUCCUCCACCUUUCCCUCCUCCCCCCUCAUGUUUUUAUUCCAUUAUUUUGAGACCCCAAGGUUGAGGCAGAUAUAUUUUCUGACUGUUACAAAUGGUCAAAGUUUGUUUGGUGUUACUUGUUUUAUGUGUUAUGUUUUAAAUACAUUCCUAAUAAAUAUUUUGGAAGUUUUUUUAACCAAGAUUAAAACCCCAGAUUAUUUUUAAAUGUGUUCCUAUAUUAAAGAAUUCCUCCUAUGUUGGUGUUACAUUUUAUGUUCUCUUUAUUAUUAUUAUUUUUUUACCACGGUUCCAUCUGUUUUGGUUUUUACAUUUUUUUUUUCUAUUGUACAGAUGAUCAUGUUACCGUCCUAUUCCAGUGAAAGAAAUCAGUUGUGACUUGAAAAUAUAGAUGAGACUGUAAUUACAAAUUGACUUCUAAAACUAGAGUGAUGCAUCCGUUGUCUGUAGAGAGCAAAUGUUGUUUUAAUGCCGGACUUGCAGAAUUUUUAUUUUGUGCAGGACACCUUUGUUUGAUAUCUUAGUAUUGUCAUAAGUACUUAUAUGUGACUGUGUAUUACAUUCAAAGAGAGACGUUCUUUAAUACAUUAUUAUUUGGCUAAAUCUAAAGUAAGCUUUUUAAUACUAUAUUGCCAACCAAGCUGAUUGGGAGCAGUACAAUAGUCUGAAUCCUAGUACUCCAUAUCCACCCUUGAGACUGCUUUACACGUGGUCUUGGGACACUACACGAUUCCUGAGGAUCUAUGGGUGACCCGUAUAUUUCUCACCAGGCUAUACAUAUGCAAUAUCCUGUUAACUGCUGUUGCUAGUCUAGGGCAAAAUUAAUCAAUGAUAUACAUGCAUUAGUUCAACAGCCAUUGCGAGCUGCUGUUUUACAUACCUGUGCUGUACAGUAGAAGAGGUUAGUAGAUGUAAGACCUGCAUAGUUUUUCACAAGCCAACACUUUAAUAAUAUGAUAUGAAAUUUAAA